GCCGGGUGUGGUGGCGUGCACCUGUAGUCCCAGCUACUCGGGAGGCUGAGGCGGGAGAAUUGCUUGAACCUGGGAGGCAGAGGUUGCAGUGAGCUGAGAUAGUGCCACUGCACUCCAGCCUAGGUGACAGAGUGAGACUCUGUCUCAA
rnacentral:SRP_RNA from 1 species